AGAGGAUGGGCAUGCGGCGCAUUAGCUUGACGGCGGGGUAACGGCCCACCGUGGCGACGAUGCGUAGGGGUUCUGAGAGGAAGGUCCCCCACACUGGUACUGAGACACGGACCAGACUCCUACGGGAGGCAGCAGUGAGGAAUAUUGGUCAAUGGGAGAGAUCCUGAACCAGCCAAGCCGCGUGAGGGAAGACGGCCCUAUGGGUUGUAAACCUCUUUUGUCGGAGAACAAAACCCGGGACGUGUCCCGGACUGCGUGUAUCCGAAGAAAAAGCAUCGGCUAACUCCGUGCCAGCAGCCGCGGUAAUACGGAGGAUGCGAGCGUUAUCCGGAUUUAUUGGGUUUAAAGGGUGCGUAGGCGGUCCGUUAAGUCAGCGGUAAAAUUGCGGGGCUCAACCCCGUCGAGCCGUUGAAACUGGCAGACUUGAGUUGGCGAGAAGUACGCGGAAUGCGCGGUGUAGCGGUGAAAUGCAUAGAUAUCGCGCAGAACUCCGAUUGCGAAGGCAGCGUACCGGCGCCAGACUGACGCUGAGGCACGAAAGCGUGGGGAUCGAACAGGAUUAGAUACCCUGGUAGUCCACGCAGUAAACGAUGAAUGCUGGUUGUCCGGGUCGAAUGAGACCUCG
rnacentral:rRNA from 1 species